rnacentral:lncRNA from 1 species
CUUUGCAGAAGCCAGAUACAUCCGGAAGAAUGGUCAGAGGUGUAGUAGAGCUUGGACAAUUUGACAUAAGAUACAGGCCCGUAACUCUAUUAAAGGUCAAGCCCUAGCGAACUUCGUUGUAGAGUUCAGCAAUGAACCCAGAAAGGAAUCACCACCAGAGGCCCCUUGGGAACUUUUCGUUGACGAUUCGUCAACUGGAGACAAGUCGGGGGUAGGAGUUGUCUUAAUUAGUCCAGACCGACAACUAUUUUGUGAAGCCCUACGUUUUGAUUCUAAGACUUUAAAUAACGAAGUCGAAUAUGAAGCUCUCAUUUCCGGAAUAAGGAUGGCCAUUGGGUUGGGGAUACCCAGCCUAAUCCUGCAUUGUGACUUCCAACUGGUAGUCAAUCGAAUCAACAAAACGUAUUAGGCCAAAGAAGAAAGGAUGGACGGUUACCUCCAAGUUGUCAGAAGAGAAUUCAAAAUUUUCAAAAUUGUUCAAAUUAAACACAUUCUCCAAUCUCAGAACAACAUCGCCAAUGCUUUAGCUCGUUUGGCCACCAGCGAAAGAAUCGAAGGAUUUGAUAACAUUCCUGUGGGAAGAAUAACACGGCCUGCCACCGAUCUAGCCGAGGUGACUCUCAUGAUGAUAGACCAUAAGUCGACCUAGAUGGAUGAAAUCAUCUCGUAUACUAAAACAAGAGAAUGCCCUAAAGAUUCGACCGAAGCAAGAAGGCUUCGCACUAAGUCGGCUAGGUACACCCUGAUGGACGAUGUCCUCUACAAAAGGAGAUACUCUACACCUUUACUGAGAUACUUGAAUGAAGAAGAAGCACAGUACACCCUGCAAGACGUACAUGAG